rnacentral:tRNA from 1 species
UCCCUAGUAGCUCGGUUGGUAAAGUAUCUGCCUGCAGUGCAGGAGACCUGGGUUCAAUUCCUGGGUCGGGAA